AUAUCGUCCGAUAAUAUUUACGGUAUGUUAUUACGAUCACGCCACGUUCACUCCCACUUUUUUUCCAUUCUCGCGGGACGAUUGACUCGUAUAUAAGACCUCCGAGAUCUCAAUUCCGACAUAACACAUCUUUUUGUGCAAAUCUAUUCUUUGUUUUUUCUUUACUUCUCAAAAACCAACCAACAAAUCAAAAAUGGGCGCUGAAAAGGUAUCCAUGAACAUCGUUGUCGUCGGACAAGUCCAAUCUGCCAAGGCCAUCAAAUCGGUCGCCAAAGCCACCCCAGCCACCAGCCAAUUGAUGAACUGUUAAUUCAUGUAAUCAAUCGAUCUCAAACUCAAAAAUGCCAUAGUCCAAACAAUACGAAAAUGAUAAUGUAACAAUAAUUAUAUACUAUUAUGAUCGUAUUGACACCGUAAAAUAAACCAUGACUUUUCCGACAAUUAA